rnacentral:tRNA from 3 species
GCGAGCGUGGCGGAAUGGUAGACGCACUGGACUUAAAAUCCAGAGUCCGAUAAGGACGUGGGGGUUCAAGUCCCCCCGCUCGUACCA